AAAAAGAUAAAAUAGAAAAUAACCAUAAAAAACGUUUAAACCCGAGAGCCUCUCCAAUGUCCGAAUUUGAGUCCUAACCACAAGGAUUAUCUGAAACACAUAAGCAAUAGGGGAUGAGCAUAAAAAGGCUCAGUGUGAGAUCAAAACAUAAUAAAUAUAUACUUGCAUACAUAUCAACAUACAUAUAACAAUCACAAUAUAAUCAUACAUCAUCAAGAUCACGGAAUUUAACACUAAUUACUAUGCAUGAACAUGUCGUUGCAUGUUUAAAAUCGAUGCACAUUUUAUAAAAUUUCUACCCAUCUCCACAACACACCAAUAUCGAGUUCCCCAGAACUUGUCCAUCUAAAACACCAUUUGUGGACAUGCCACCACUGAUUUGCAGAUAAACUGCCACUGAUAACAUUGAUGUGGGUAAGCCACCACUGAUAUGUAGAUUUACUGUCAUUGCUUCCACCUUUCACAAUAUCCCACCCCAUGCAUGUGACAUGGCAAUUACACUUUUAACACAUGUAAAUCACUUUAAUAGUUAGGCAUAUAGAUAUGCUCACAUAAUCACAUUUCACUAGUCAUCACUUUUACAUAUUUAAUCAUGCUUGUCACAUUAGAUUAUAGAUCUCAAUAUUCACAUAUUCAUAUAUAUAUAAAUAUAUAUCACAUACUUAAAUCACCAAAUAUAAUAUAUAAACCAUGCAACACAUGUCAUGAGAACGAGAUUUAUACAUAUAUUUUUAUUAUAAUGAUAGUCACAUCAUAUCACAUAUCUCAUACAUUCCACAAAAAGUAUUUCGGUUAGAGUCAUUUACUUAGGUACUUUGUAUUGAGUUUUUUAACCACUCCACUUCGAAUACAUAAUAUACUCACCAUUAUUUAUAAUUUAAUUAUUAAUAUAAUAAAAAUAAUUAUGUUACACAUAAUGAGUAUAAUCGAUCUCACACCUUAAAUUGUAGAUUCGAUUUGCUUCAACCCUUAUUACUAAGUUUUACUCGAUCUACCUUGCAGGACAAUCUGUUACAUAAUUAACACAUAUUAGUAUGAAUCUUUGAAAAUGUUUCGUCACUUUAGACCACUAAGAUAAAUAAUUAGUUACUAAACCACUUGACCAUUAAUUCCCUUGUGUCCAAUCUUGCACAUUAAUUUAAAAUAUAGAAGAUGACAGUUCCACUUUUGCUUAAUUAAUCAAAAAGUGGGAUGUGACAGGAUUUAUGUGAGCAGACUCCAACUGAUGAUAUUCUUUCAGAAAUAAUAGAGACAAAGUAAGACCUUAAUUUGGAAAUGGACAAAGUGGAGAUGUAUUCCAAACAGAGAGCCCGGUACAAUUGGCUUUGAUAUGGCAAUCAGAAUACGAGGUAUUUUCACAAUUUUACCUCUUCUCGUCGCCGUACGAAUCGAAUAAACAGACUGCUAGAUAGGAAUGGCCUUUUAACAUCAGAUAUUGAUGAAUUGAAUAAUAUUUUUGUUGAUUAUUACGAUAAUAUUUUUACUAGCAAUGGGUGUGAUGGUGCUACUAGUGUUUUUACAAAAGUUCAACGAUGUAUCAUUGAAAGAAUGAAUGAGAUGCUUUGAGCCAAAUUUAAGGGAGAAGAGGUUCUAACAGCGGUGAAGGAAAUGGGGUCAACUAAAGCACCGAGUAAAGAUGGGUUUUUGCUCUAUUUUACCAGCGAUUUUAGGCUAUAAUAAGAGAUGAGGUGACGAAAUACUGCUUGAGAAUGUUGCACCGUGAAAUUGCGUUGAAUGAGGUAAACCACAUUCACAUUGUUUUGAUCCCUAAAGUAUCAACGCCUGAUACAAUGUCCUUAUUCCAUCCGAUUAGUCUAUGCUUUGUUUUUUAUAAGAUAUCUCAAAAGUUAUUGCUAAUAGACUUAAAAGAGUUCUUGAUUGUUGUAUUGAUGAGGCUUAGGGGCCUUUUAUUCCCAGGAGAUUAAUUUCGGAUAACAUUUUAACUACUUAUAAGAUAUUGCAUGCUUUUAAAAGGCGUAGGUACGGAAGGAAAUGUGCUUUUGCUUUAAAACUAAACAUGAGCAAAGCGUAUGAUAGAGUUGAAUGGGAGUUUCUUAAAGAUAUGAUGUCUAUAGGCUUUGAUUUAGAGUUGUUUUCUUUAAUCAUUCACUGUAUUACUUCUAUUUCUUAUUCGAUUGUUAUAAAUGGAGAUAUAAGUUCUUGUUUUAAUCCGGGGGCAAUCCUCUAAGCCUUUAUUUAUUUUUGAUAUGUACAGAAGGUUUUGCUACUUUAUUGCAUGAAGCGAAUGAAACUUGUAGAUUAGAUGGGGUGAGAGUUUGUCCAAGAGGGCCUUCGGUGACGCACCUAUUCUUUGCUAAUGACAGUGUGGUUUUUGGUGAAGCUUCCAGUGAAGGCAGUCAGGUUAUUCAGUCAUUUUACAACAUUAUGAAAAGUGCUCUGGACAACAUAUUAAUUUGGAAAAGUCUUAGAUUUAUUUAAAGCUCUAAUGUCCAAAAUAGUAUGUGUUGUUAGCUUACUAAUCAAUUGGGUAUAAGGAGAGUACUUAAUCCAGAGAAUUACCUAGGCCUACCCACGAUGGUUGGAAGGAGGAAGAAAGAGGCCUUUCAACACUUGAAGGACCGUAUGAAAGCGAGGAUAAAUAACUGGAGCGUUGAAAUGCUUUCACUAGAGGGUAAGGAGAUUUUUAUCAAAUCUGUUCUUCCGGCGCUAUCUGCUUACGAGAUGUCAUGUUUUCUUGUCCCUAAGUCUUUAUGCAAUGAUCUUGAGGCUAUCAUUAGCCAAUUUUGGUGGCAGAAAGGCCAUAAUAGAAAAGGAGUUCAUUAGUGUAAAUGGAAGGAUCUUUGCUAUUUAAAGGAGGGUGGAUUGGAAAUCUUUCUAAAUUCAAUACUGCAUUUUUGGCUAAGCAAGGCUGGAGAUCCAUUACUAAGCCCAUGAAUUUUUAAAGCCAAAUAUUUCACUAAUUCUAGCUUUUGGGAGGCAAAGUUAGGGUCUCAUCCAUCCUACGUUUGGUGAAGCAUAUGGGCUGCUCGAGAUUUUAUUGGAGAAGGGUUCUGGAUGGAGGGUUGGUAUUGGUUCUUCUAUUUCAAUUUGGAAUGAUUAUUGGCUCCUUUUUCAGCAGGUUGUUGUAUACAAGAAUCGAUUGUUAAUGACUCAAUUAGAAUUGUUUCAGGUCUCAUAAAUAUGGAGACAAGGACAUGGUAAGAGGAGAUUAUUACCAAUGUCUUUUAUCCGAAGGAAGCUGAUGCGAUUCUCUGCAUUCCUGUAUCACAACACAUAGGUGAGGAUAAGAUUGUUUGGCUGGGGCAUACUGGCGACUAUUCUGUCCGAAGUGGUUACCGUCUUCUUUUACAAUCUCAGCAACUAGAGACUUUUCCUAAUGAUUACAGGAAAUUUUACAAAAAACUUUGGCAAAUACAAGUGCCAUCCAAGAUCAAAAUUACAGUCUGGCGAAUUCUACACAAUUACAUCCCUACUAGAGCUAAUCUUUUUACAAGAAGAGUGAUUGCGUCUCCCAGUUGCCUCAGAUGUAAUAGAGAGGUUGAAACUAAUGCAGAUGCAAUGAUGGGUUGUGAAUCUACAAAAAUCAUAUGGAAAGUUUGGGUUUUAAUGGCCUAAAUAUUGCUGAUGUAGAGGAAUUAUGGGAAUGGUUCGCACAGAGACUAAAAAAUGAUCAACCAAUUACCUGUAGGUCUAUUCUGAUCACUGCUUGGGCAAUUUGGUUUGGGCGUAACAAACAAGUGAUGGAAGGAAAAGUUCUCUCUAUCCACGAUAUCAACAUCAAAAUUAGGAGUUUGGCAAAGGAUUAGAUCAAAAAAAUAACCCUUUACCUGGUUCUCAGCAAGAUCCUCGAGCGAACUGGAAUCCCUUAAACGAGAAUUUUAUUAAACUGAAUUUUGAUGUUGCAUACAAAGGAAAUUCAAGAACCUCUUGUUCAGGAUUUGUAAUCGGGAAUUCAAAUGGUCAAAUCAUGGGUAGUGGUUUUAAACAAAACAGGAACAUAUCUUAUGCCUUCUCGGCUGAGGCUCUCUCAUGUUUGCAGGGUCCAACUUUCGCAAAUGAUAUGGGGUUUAGUCGUCUGAUCGUGGAGAGUGAUGCUUGUACCAUUAUCUCCAGAAUAGAACGAGAUAGAGAAGAUAGAUCGAAGAUCGGGCCCUACAUCAAAGACAUAAAAGUUCUAUCUCAAGCUUUUAGAUCUAUCAAGUUCUGCUUUACUCCUAGAACUGCGAACAAAGCUUCCCACAUUAUGGCUCAAGAGGGAUUCAAAGGAGAAGAGGACACCUACUGGGUUGAGGAAGCUCCUGACGCUGUUAUGGCAGCAGUGGAGGAAGAUAGACGAUGGAUUGACCCCCUUGAUAAUCUGUCAUUUGAUGUUGCUGAUCUAUGGCUAAUGUUGUGUUCUAUGGAAAGCCACAUUAUUCUAGUCGUUUGCUGCUAAGAUUGGAGGAGAUUUUAGUGGAAUAUUAAGAGCCGAAGUUGUGUUGAAGAAAGGAAACAAUAUAUUGAUUGUAGCGUUGGACUACUUUAUUUUCUUUUAAUAAAAGCUUCGGUCUUAUCCUUCAGAAAAAGAAAAAAAAGAAAAAGUAAUCAUCAUCUAGUGAUGCAUUAUCCAUGCGGGUAGAAUUUUAUUAACGGUUUUAACACUAAAUAUCAUAGUAAAAUAUAUAUAGAUAGUUCAAAU
rnacentral:lncRNA from 1 species